AUUGAACGCUGGCGGCAGGCCUAACACAUGCAAGUCGAGCGGCAGCGGAAAGUAGCUUGCUACUUUGCCGGCGAGCGGCGGACGGGUGAGUAAUGUCUGGGAAACUGCCUGAUGGAGGGGGAUAACUACUGGAAACGGUGGCUAAUACCGCAUAACGUCGCAAGACCAAAGUGGGGGACCUUCGGGCCUCACGCCAUCGGAUGUGCCCAGAUGGGAUUAGCUAGUAGGUGGGGUAAUGGCUCACCUAGGCGACGAUCCCUAGCUGGUCUGAGAGGAUGACCAGCCACACUGGAACUGAGACACGGUCCAGACUCCUACGGGAGGCAGCAGUGGGGAAUAUUGCACAAUGGGCGCAAGCCUGAUGCAGCCAUGCCGCGUGUGUGAAGAAGGCCUUCGGGUUGUAAAGCACUUUCAGCGAGGAGGAAGGCAUCACACUUAAUACGUGUGGUGAUUGACGUUACUCGCAGAAGAAGCACCGGCUAACUCCGUGCCAGCAGCCGCGGUAAUACGGAGGGUGCAAGCGUUAAUCGGAAUUACUGGGCGUAAAGCGCACGCAGGCGGUUUGUUAAGUCANAUGUGAAAUCCCCGCGCUUAACGUGGGAACUGCAUUUGAAACUGGCAAGCUAGAGUCUUGUANAGGGGGGUAGAAUUCC
rnacentral:rRNA from 1 species